AAUCCAUGAUAUGCAAUUAUUGUCAUGCUUUGCUGUUAAGUUAAAACUUUUAACCCCACGUCAUGUUAUAAAGACAUUAGAGCAGCAGCAAUGGUGAUCUCAGCAAUGGUGAUCUCUCUUAUGAGUCUCUUAUAAUAAAAAUAAAGAAAAAUAAUUAAAAUGAAAGGGACAGAGGAGAGAGGAGCUCUAAAAACCCUUAUUUAA
rnacentral:sRNA from 1 species